rnacentral:rRNA from 1 species
ACGGGCAUUGCCCAGUAACGGCGAGUGAAGCGGCAAAAGCUCAAUUUUGAAAUCCCCCCGGGGAGUUGUAAUUUGAAGACUAGGGGAUUUGGCCCAAACCUGCGCAAGUCCAUUGGAACAUGGCGCCCAAGAGGGUGAGAGCCCCGUCGCGCAGGCCGCAGCCUUGACAUCCCCCCGUCAAAGAGUCGAGUUGUUUGGGAAUGCAGCUCAAAGUGGGUGGUAAAUUCCAUCUAAAGCUAAAUAUUGGCGAGAGACCGAUAGCGAACAAGUACAGUGAUGGAAAGAUGAAAAGCACUUUGAAAAGAGAGUGAAACAGUACGUGAAAUUGUUGAAAGGGAAGGGCUUGCAAGCAGACACGAGUUCGCUCGGGCCAGCAUCAAUUUCGCGAGGUGGACAACACGCCAGGAAUGUGGCAGGCUCCGGCCUGUGUUAUAGCCUGCGCGCCAUACACCUCCGCGAGAUUGAGGCCUGCUCCAAAAGGAUGCUGGCGUAAUGGUUGCAAGUCGCCCGUCUUGAAACAACGGAMACAAAAA